GGGGAGAAGGAAGCACAAUAAUUUCUUAUUAGAUAUUCAAGAAUAAGUUUAUAUUUUCCCUCUCGUUUGCCCUAACUGGAAUUUUUCUGAAACUCAUAGAAGAUUUAUUUGUGGUGGUGUAUAGCUUCAAGGUUAAGCUCGGCGUCUCAGUUUCGCUUCUUCGAGAAAGGUAAUCUACUCUCUUUUCGGUUCUUCUUUAUUUCUUGCUUGUAUGUUUAGAUUUAGUCUUUUGAAGUUUGAUUUGUAGUUCUUAUUUAUGUCUUCUAUUAGAUUAAAUCUAUUGUUAAAAGUGCUUUGUGAAUUUCUAUUUAAUAUUUGCUCAUACUAUUGCGUCAAUAUUAUGAUUAUGUUCAUAUCGAUUUUUAUUUUUUAUUUUUAUUUUUUUUCUUUUCUCUUUGAUUGUGGGAUCGUCCAAAUGCGUUUGACUUUUCAUGGUUAAUGGAGAGUCUUGUCUGCAUUGGAGUUUGUUGUUUGUUUAUUCUUAUACCUUAGCAUUUAAAUAUAUUUGUAGGCAUUGAAUGAUCUGAGGUUGAAGCAUAUGCUAUGCUAUUGUAUGUUAACUUGGAAUGGUUGUGCUGCCUUAAGACUUGUCACUUUGUUGGUUUCUUUGAAAAGCAUAUUUCUAUAGUAUGAUUUGUAUGGUGCUUGGCCAUUUUUUAUGGUGUAGCAGUAGCCCAUUGCUGAGUUUUAUUUAUUAUAGUUCAAUUAUUUUGGGCUUGAUCAUGAAUAAGCUAGAGUUACAAGGAACACAUAUAUUUUGGUUUGUCAAUGCUAUCCAUUGGUAGUUCAUAACCAAUUAGUUUUCCUUUUUGUCAUAUAUAUAUAUAUAUAUAUAUAUAU
rnacentral:lncRNA from 1 species